UACGUAGGGGGCUAGCGUUGUCCGGAUUUAUUGGGCGUAAAGAGCGUGUAGGCGGUCCGGUAAGUCCGCUGUGAAAGUCGGGGGCUCAACCCUCGGAUGCCGGUGGAUACUGUCGGGCUAGAGUACGGAAGAGGCGAGUGGAAUUCCUGGUGUAGCGGUGAAAUGCGCAGAUAUCAGGAGGAACACCAAUUGCGAAGGCAGCUCGCUGGGACGGUACUGACGCUGAGGCGCGAAAGCGUGGGGAGCAAACAGG
rnacentral:rRNA from 1 species